rnacentral:rRNA from 1 species
GCUGGCGGCAAGCCUAACACAUGCAAGUCGAACGGACAAUUGCUUAUAACCUUUUGGUUCUAAAUAGUUGUUAGUGGCAGACGGGUGAGUAAUGCGUAGGAAUCUACCUAGUAGUAUGGAAUAGCCAUUAGAAAUGAUGGGUAAUACUGUAUAAUCCCUGCGGGGGAAAGAUUUAUCGCUAUUAGAUGAGCCUACGUUAGAUUAGCUAGUUGGUAAGGUAAUGGCUUACCAAGGCUAUGAUCUAUAGCUGGUCUGAGAGGACGAUCAGCCACACUGGAACUGAGAUACGGUCCAGACUCCUACGGGAGGCAGCAGUGGGGAAUAUUGGACAAUGGGCGAAAGCCUGAUCCAGCUAUGCCGCGUGAGUGAAGAAGGCCUUCGGGUUGUAAAACUCUUUCAAUAGGGAAGAUAAUGACGGUACCUAUAGAAGAAGUCCCGGCAAACUCUGUGCCAGCAGCCGCGGUAAUACG